rnacentral:lncRNA from 1 species
AGAAUUCGGUCCCGGAGCAACCUGGCGAGACGGCUCAACGGCGCUUGUCGCCAAGCCUGGGGAAAUAUAACGUGAAAGAUGCCAGGGAACCGCCUCCCACCAGUUGCUCAAGGUACACACAGGAUAUCUAGUGAGUCCGAGACCAUCCUGGCCUCGAAAACAAAAAAUAAAUAAAUAAAUAAAGAAAGAAAGAAAGAAAGAAAGAAAAGAAAAAAGAAAACGUUCAACCCACAGCGUUUCCAGAGAAAAUCAACACAAGUCUGUUUUAAAACGCAGAGGAUACCGAGCCAUCCAAACACUUGCCUAAAUUAAGAGAGAGUUCUAGAAGUGAGCAGAGGUAGAGGCCCACCGACCCACUGCACCCCUGCGUGACCUCCCAGGAGUCGCUGGGAUUCUAUGCAAAAUAUAAAGACAAGCGUGGUGUUUACAGGGUGUGGCUCAACUACAGGCGCUCCCAGUAAGUAGGAAUGGCCGGGGUUUCCCCUCUCCCCAAAAAUCACACAGACCCACCUCCCAGAAUCCUUCACUUCCUUUUCUUCCUGCCUCCUCCUCACUUCCUUCUACUUUCCUGUCCGGGGUCCUCCUAGCCGGAGGACAAGAGCGAAACAGGACAGACCAGGAUCCCAGGCUUCAUUCCACCGAGUCUCACUAGCGCCUACAGUGGUGCAGACUGAUCCAGAGAGAAACAGCUCGGAGUCAAUCAAAAAACAGUUCUAACAGGGCUUGGUGAGAGGCAGAGAAUAGGCGACAGCCGCCGGGAGUGCGGGGCUGAGACAAACCAACGCUCAGGAAUGGCCACUGAGGGGCAGCGACCUAGCCCACUGGAGACCUGCAGGAAGGGUGUCCCGGAUGGAGGAAACCGCAAGUCCAAAGGCACAGAGAAGCGCAGAGAGCAAGUGGAGGAAGAAGUUACGUGUUGGAAGGCUUUUAGGAAGCCUUAUUGCAUAGGACCCUGUGAACUUUGGGAAAUCUUUGUUUUCAGGUGUGCUUGGGAGCACGUGUAAUUUCAGGCCUUGGUAGGGAGUGGUAAGAGGACAUCUGGAAAGCUAUAUAUAUAUAUAUAUAUAUAUAUAUAUACACAUAUAUACAUAUACACGCAAUAUUUUAUAUUAUAUAUUAUAUACAUAUAUAGCUAUAUAGCAAGAUUGUGCCUCAAUAUAAUAAAAUAUUUAUUACUU